UACGUAGGGGGCAAGCGUUAUCCGGAAUUACUGGGUGUAAAGGGUGAGUAGGUGGCAUGGUAAGCCAGAUGUGAAAGCCUUGGGCUUAACCCGAGGAUUGCAUUUGGAACUAUCAAGCUAGAGUACAGGAGAGGAAAGCGGAAUUCCUAGUGUAGCGGUGAAAUGCGUAGAUAUUAGGAAGAACACCAGUGGCGAAGGCGGCUUUCUGGACUGAAACUGACGCUGAGGCACGAAAGCGUGGGGAGCGAACAGG
rnacentral:rRNA from 1 species